rnacentral:rRNA from 1 species
UGGGGAAUUUUGCACAAUGGGGGAAACCCUGAUGCAGCGACGCCGCGUGAUUUAGAAGGCCUUCGGGUUGUAAAAAUCUUUUCUAUGGGAAGAAAAUGACAGUACCAUAGGAAUAAGGACCGGCUAAUUACGUGCCAGCAGCCGCGGUAAUACGUAAGGUCCGAGCGUUGUCCGGAAUCAUUGGGCGUAAAGGGUACGUAGGCGGGUAAGCAAGUUAGAAGUGAAAUCCUACAGCUCAACUAUAGUAAGCUUUUAAAACUGCUCAUCUUGAGGUAUGGAAGGGAAAGUGGAAUUCCUAGUGUAGCGGUGAAAUGCGCAGAUAUUAGGAGGAAUACCGGUGGCGAAGGCGACUUUCUGGCCAUAACCUGACGCUGAGGUACGAAAGCGUGGGUAGCAAACAGG